rnacentral:rRNA from 1 species
GAGCUCAAAUUUGAAAGCUGGCGUCUUCGGCGUCCGCAUUGUAAUCUCAAGAAGUGUUUUCCGCUUCGGACCAUGCCUAAGUCCCUUGGAAAAGGGCAUCAUAGAGGGUGAUAAUCCCGUACAUGGCAUGGAGCGCCCGAAGCUUUGUGAUACGCUUUCUACGAGUCGAGUUGUUUGGGAAUGCAGCUCAAAAUGGGUGGUAAAUGCCAUCUAAGGCUAAAUAUUGGGGAGAGACCGAUAGCGAACAAGUACCGUGAGGGAAAGAUGAAAAGCACUUUGGAAAGAGAGUUAAAUAGUACGUGAAAUUGUCGAAAGGGAAGCGCUUGAAGUUAGACAUGCUAGUUGGAAUUCAGCCUUGCUUUUGCUUGGUGCAUUUUCCGGUUAGCAGGCCAGCAUCAGUUUUGCCUGUCGGAUAAGGGUAGGAGGAAUGUGGCCCCUCGGGGUGUUAUAGCCUCCUACUGGAUACAGCGACCGAGACCGAGGAACGCAGCGUACUCGUAAGAGCGGGCCUUUUGGCACCUUUACGCUUAGGGCGUUGGCAUAAUGGCCCUCUACCACCCGUCUUGA